UNUGGAGUAAAAGGCUAUGGCCCAACCAUAGUGUGCUCUGGAAACUGUCUGACUUGAGUGCAGAAGGGGAGAGUGGAAUUCCAUGUGUAGCGGUGAAAUGCGUAGAUAUAUGGAGGAACACCAGUGGCGAAAGCGGCUCUCUGGUCUGUCACUGACGCUGAGGCUCGAAAGCGUGGGUAGCGAACAGGAUUAGAUACCCUGGUAGUCCACGCCGUAAACGAUGAGUGCUAGGUGUUAGGCCCUUUCCGGGGCUUAGUGCCGGAGCUAACGCAAUAAGCACUCCGCCUGGGGAGUACGACCGCAAGGUUGAAACUCAAAGGAAUUGACGGGGGCCCGCACAAGCGGUGGAGCAUGUGGUUUAAUUCGAAGCAACGCGAAGAACCUUACCAGGUCUUGACAUCCCGAUGCUAUUCUUAGAGAUAGGAAGUUACUUCGGUACAUCGGAGACAGGUGGUGCAGGUUGUCGUCAGCUCGUGUCGUGAGAUGUUGGGUUAAGUCCCGCAACGAGCGCAACCCUUAUUGUUAGUUGCCAUCAUUAAGUUGGGCACUCUAGCGAGACUGCCGGUAAUAAACCGGAGGAAGGUGGGGAUGACGUCAAAUCAUCAUGCCCCUUAUGACCUGGGCUACACACGUGCUACAAUGGUCGGUACAACGAGUUGCGAGCCGGUGACGGCAAGCUAAUCUCUGAAAGCCGAUCUCAGUUCGGAUUGGAGGCUGCAACUCGCCUCCAUGAAGUCGGAAUCGCUAGUAAUCGCGGAUCAGCACGCCGCGGUGAAUACGUUCCCGGGCCUUGUACACACCGCCCGUCACACCACGAGAGUUUGUAACACCCGAAGUCGGUGAGGUAACCUUUUAGGGGCCAGCCG
rnacentral:rRNA from 1 species